ensembl:lncRNA
UAAUGACAAGAGAAGAAAGGUAAAGAGAAAAGAAGAAAAAAGCCAAGUGAAAAAGUAAAGAAUAACUCAAAGGAAGGAGUGGAUGGCAAGAAAUACAGAGAAAGCAAUGCAUAGCAGAGCAAAGGAAAGCAAGGCAAAAUAGCAGCCAAAGCCACGAGAAUCAAGAAGUCAGUGAAGAGCAGGAAAGGAAUGGAGGACUCUGGCCAGAGCUGUGCCCCUGCUUGCCACAGGAGCUGCGCGGGAGGAGAAGAAUGUGGGCCAAAAGAGCAAAGGAAAGCAAGGCAAAAUAGCAGCCAGAGCCACGAGAAUCAAGAAGUCAGUGAAGAGCAGGAAAGAAGAAAAAAGCCAAGUGAAAAAGUAAAGAAUAACUCAAAGGAAGGAGUGGAUGGCAAGAAAUACAGAGAAAGCAAUGCAUAGCAGAGCAAAGGAAAGCAAGGCAAAAUAGCAGCCAAAGCCACGAGAAUCAAGAAGUCAGUGAAGAGCAGGAAAGGAAUGGAGGACUCUGGCCAGAGCUGUGCCCCUGCUUGCCACAGGAGCUGCGCGGGAGGAGAAGAAUGUGGGCCAAAAGAAAAAACAAACAAAAAACCGAAUAAUGACAAGAGAAGAAAGGUAAAGAGAAAAGAAGAAAAAAGCCAAGUGAAAAAGUAAAGAAUAACUCAAAGGAAGGAGUGGAUGGCAAGAAAUACAGAGAAAGCAAUGCAUAGCAGAGCAAAGGAAAGCAAGG